GCCUCCCUCUUUCCUCGUGCUUAACACAUGCAAGUCGAACGGAAAGGCCCUGCUUUUGUGGGGUGCUCGAGUGGCGAACGGGUGAGUAACACGUGAGUAACCUGCCCUUGACUUUGGGAUAACUUCAGGAAACUGGGGCUAAUACCGGAUAGGAGCUCCUGCUGCAUGGUGGGGGUUGGAAAGUUUCGGCGGUUGGGGAUGGACUUGCGGCUUAUCAGCUUGUUGGUGGGGUAGUGGCUUACCAAGGCUUUGACGGGUAGCCGGCCUGAGAGGGUGACCGGCCACAUUGGGACUGAGAUACGGCCCAGACUCCUACGGGAGGCAGCAGUGGGGAAUAUUGCACAAUGGGCGGAAGCCUGAUGCAGCAACGCCGCGUGCGGGAUGACGGCCUUCGGGUUGUAAACCGCUUUCGCCUGUGACGAAGCGUGAGUGACGGUAAUGGGUAAAGAAGCACCGGCUAACUACGUG
rnacentral:rRNA from 1 species